AACGAACGCUGGCGGCAGGCCUAACACAUGCAAGUCGAACGCCCCGCAAGGGAGUGGCAGACGGGUGAGUAACGCGUGGGAACGUGCCCUUCGGUUCGGAAUAACUCAGGGAAACUUGAGCUAAUACCGGAUACGUCCGUAAGGAGAAAGAUUUAUCGCCGAAGGAUCGGCCCGCGUCGGAUUAGCUAGUUGGUGAGGUAACGGCCCACCAAGGCGACGAUCCGUAGCUGGUCUGAGAGGAUGAUCAGCCACACUGGGACUGAGACACGGCCCAGACUCCUACGGGAGGCAGCAGUGGGGAAUAUUGGACAAUGGGCGAAAGCCUGAUCCAGCCAUGCCGCGUGAGUGAAGAAGGCCUUAGGGUUGUAAAGCUCUUUUCAGCGGGAAGAUAAUGACGGUACCCGCAGAAGAAGCCCCGGCUAACUUCGUGCCAGCCGCCGCUGU
rnacentral:rRNA from 1 species